rnacentral:pre_miRNA from 1 species
UUAAAGGGGGAUUCUGCCGUGCCGCAAAGAUACUUUCUGGACACAGGAGAAGCCCUUUUUUCUU